rnacentral:rRNA from 1 species
AGCGAACGCUGGCGGCAGGCCUAAUACAUGCAAGUCGAACGCCCCGCAAGGGGAGUGGCAGACGGGUGAGUAACGCGUGGGAAUCUACCCAGUUCUACGGAAUAACCCAGGGAAACUUGGACUAAUACCGUAUACGCCCUACGGGGGAAAGAUUUAUCGGAAUUGGAUGAGCCCGCGUUGGAUUAGCUAGUUGGUGGGGUAAUGGCCUACCAAGGCGACGAUCCAUAGCUGGUCUGAGAGGAUGAUCAGCCACACUGGGACUGAGACACGGCCCAGACUCCUACGGGAGGCAGCAGUGGGGAAUAUUGGACAAUGGGCGCAAGCCUGAUCCAGCCAUGCCGCGUGAGUGAUGAAGGCCUUAGGGUUGUAAAGCUCUUUCAGUGGGGACGAUAAUGACGGUACCCACAGAAGAAGCCCCGGCUAACUUCGUGCCAGCCGCCGCCGUAACAC